rnacentral:ncRNA from 2 species
GGCCACCAUGGGGAGGACGGUGCCCCGUUAAAAUCAGGGGCCGAAAAGGGAAGCCGGAAGCGUGCCUGGAUAUGGCGCUCCAGCCGGCGCUGCCCCCGCAACUGUAAAGGGUCAUGUCCCGCCCUUUCCUGCGCCACUGGCGGCCCUGGCCGCUGGGAAGGCCGGGCAGGACAACGAGGCCCUGAGCCAGGAGACCUGCCGUCGCAGCUUGACGUCC